UUUCUUUCAUGAGAUGUUAUGGCUGGUGAGAGUUCCACUAAUUUUAUGCCCAAAAAAGGGUAAUUGGGAUAUUUAUCAAUUUGAAGAGGGAGGAAGUAGCAGUUACCCUUGAUGAUUUGGUCCCUGGACCAGGCAGAGCUGAAAACACAAGUGUCCCCUGGUGUCCAAGUAGAAGACCACACAUCUCCAAGGAGCUCAGUCCUCUAUUGGCAGCUUGGCUUCUAGGGGAAUGCUCAGAAAGUCUCCACAUGCUGUUUCUUCCUCUAAAGGCUGUUGAUGGCAUCAUGGUGAAUAACCACGGCUUGCUUCAUGCUGUUUUGCUUUCAAGUCUGAAAACUUCAUAUGAGAACCUCAGCCUGAAUCAUGUCGCUCCAGGUAAUCUGGAUACCAAGAACCAAACAAAACAGACUGAAUAUAAGCAGCCGGAACCGUCAUCGGUUUUAUUUGCCUUCACCUGCUCUCAGGGAGACAUGACUUUGCAGUGAUUGACUGCAGUUUCAUAUUUACAGAAAUGGACUGGAGACAGAAAUCAUCCUCAGGCCUUCAUCCCAGGAAAAUCAGAAAAACAACUUCUUCUAAAGCCAUUAACAGGUUUCCUAUGCUGUCAGUUGCUCUAGAGGAGUUCUCAGUCUGCUUAGAGGAGAACCAGGCACAGUGCGCUGCAGUGGCCACGCUGGUAGCUGUGGUCACAGGGCAUCCCCUCACCAGCUACAGUCACAGCUUUUCCAUUAAGAGCACAUACUGCCUGAUCCUUGGGAAAGACCUGCUGAAAUACUCCCAGCUCUGUACAGUUUCUGAAAUGGAGCUGCUAUAA
rnacentral:lncRNA from 1 species